GAUAAUUUACAUCAGCCAAUUACUCAACCCUUCACCCCAAUCUUCUAUCAAAUAACCCAGGCCCAAAUUCAAGCAAAUACCAAAGCAGCCCUUCAAUUCAAUUCAAUAGAAACCCAUUACAUACAACAACAUCACCAAUAGCAUGUAGUUGAAAAUCGACCCGACAUCAGAAUCUACGUGUUCUUCUCCUCCAGCAGUUCAACGCGAAGAAAACCCAAAAAAUGAAUCCAGUCCAGCAGCGACUCAGCCAAGAUCGUGAGGCCUAGCUCGCUGCCUCGUCCUCUCUUACUCUCGUGUGUCGUCCUCUUCUCUUGUAUUAAGAACAAUUUAGAGAAUCCGUCCAGGUGGCCCAUAUUCAUCCUUUUCCCUUAAUCGGACGACUUUUCCUUUGAGUUCCGUUGGAAAUUUGUAUUCAUUCCAGCUACACACUUAUCUUUUAAGGAAAAUUCGAAUUUUGAGUUGAAAAUUACUCCAACUCCUCACCCUAUUUCCCCCCAUUUUAAACCUAGUUCUUCUCCUAUAAAUAGUAGUUUCUUCUUCUUUGAAUGGGCGGGAGAUAAAGUUGAAAUAAAAUGGGGAAAAAAAAGUUGGAAAAAACAGAGGAAGGAACAGCUUGCAUUGAGUUGGACGCGAUACUGAGAGAAAAUAUUGGGGAAACUUUAGUUGGAAGAGUCAAGAAAAGGUUUUGUUCUCAUUUUUCGAACGCGAUUUUUUAUCGGAAUCUCUCGGAGUCGUCGGAAGUCGCUGCCCUACAAGCUCAUCAGUAGCUGCCCGGAAAAAGGUAUACAGUCGUACAACGAGCUCCAAGCUCUAGUAGCAUAAAGAACCAGACAAGCUCCCAGCUCUGAAACUCCAUUCUCCAUUUUGCGUUUCUCCUCCAUCAGAUCUGAACGAAAAAUUCAUAAUAAAUGUGUUUUGACAGGUACCUCGGAGUUGCUUCUCAUCGAAGCUAUUCCAAUGAAUUCAAAUGUACUUAAUAUUCAUUAUUGUGUAUAUUAUUGAUGUUAAGCAAACCUUAGACCGAUACUUACAUUAUUAUUUUAUUUUAUUAUUUGUGUAUAUUACAUGUUAAUUGUACUUGUAUAUUGAUUUAUUUCCUCCUCAAUUUGAAAAAAUGAAUUCAGUCGGGACCCAUGAUUGAGAAUUUCGAAGAGUGUCUAACACCUUCCCUUCGGAAUCACUUGAACACCUUACCCAGAACUAAUGGUUUCAUAGAUUACAUAAAGUGGUUUCCUGGUUUUCCUAAAAUUAGGUGGCGACUCAUUUAAAAUUCAUUUAUUUUUAAACAUCUUUUAAAACUGACUUAAUUAAUUAUUUUUUGAGUCAACGCGACGUUUUUUCCUAUUUGAAUAGAGUGGGGAUGUAAACAGAUUGACGACUCCGCUGGGAAUCUUAAAUUUUUAACCAAUAUUAAUUUAUUAUUUUCAAAUUGAGGGGCAUUCUCUUUUAUUGUGCUAUAACUUGUAUUCUGUAUAUUUUGUUGAUUAUUUGUAUAUCAUACUUGUUGUUCAUUCAUUAUUCAUUUUCUUUGUAUGUAUAAUUUCAUUGCGUUCAUGAUAUGUUCUAUUGUAUGUAUAGUAUAUUAAAGAACGAUUUUGCGGGACUGCAACUGUACUUCUUUAUAAUCAAUUGUUUUUCGAAAUGAUCGACAAUUAUUGGGUCGUCAUGCGUCUGAUGGUGGUCCUGAAUUUUAGCCUAAGUUGUCAACUUGAGUUCACGGUCUUUUAAAAGCCACUCUUAGUCAAUUAGUGUAGAGCUAAACAAAAUCUCGAUUUCUAGCGUAUUUCGAACUAAGCUAACCCAACACCCAAGGCGUGUUGGGCCCAUUCAAGAGAUCACCUUGAGUCUAAAAUGGCUCAUUGCCUAAACGGACAUUUAUACUUACUUGUUUAAAUUUAAAGGAUGUAUACGUUGUUUAAAAAAUGAUUGUCUAGUUUAUUCUAGUUGAAGAAAGUUUCACAAGCUAUUACUUUAUCCAAAAAUGUUGACAUCCAGAGAAGACAAGAAAUCAAGAAAGAAGAAGGACCUUUCAUGGAUGCAUAGUUUAGGGUUGUGCCCCUGCGUAUGACUGAUUAGUGAUUAUUUUGUAUCCCUUUUUUCGUGAUAUGUAUCCCAUUAAGCUUUAUUCAUAAAGAUUGUAUGAAUUUCUGGUUUGGUCAAUGACGUAUUUCAGAUGACGUUAUUCAUCCUUCAAAUCGGUAGGUCUAUUCUUGGCAUAAAAGGUUCCAUAUUUGUAUAGGAUGCACAAUAAUUGUUUGUAUGUUAUGUGAUGUAUAUAAUUGAGUUUGUCUUCAA